UCUUCUGCGCCUGCUUCGAUCGGCUGGCGAUCACAUCCACGGAAGGGGCAUUGUAGCCGAUAAGGGGGGAGGUGGUGUAUGGAUGAUGGUCCUCUAUCGGCCGGCCACUCCGCUGCGUGUUGGGGGAACGCGGUUUUCAGACUGAACCAACAGCAAGAUGUUAGUGUACGCAUUUAACCACAUUAAUAAAGGAAUGAAAAUCGGCUAGGGAAAAAUACCUCGGCAUUUGGAUCGAUGUUGGCCGGAUCCAGGAGAUUGCAGUAUGUCGAUGCGGAAGUGCAGAACAGAUACUAUUUCCAUUCGGCCCACCAUAGCUUAAAUGGUUGGACAGCAAAGGGGGCUACUAUCCAGUCAUUC
rnacentral:lncRNA from 1 species